GCAUCCUUGGUAGUAUAGUGGUCAAUAUCCCCGCCUGUCACGCGGAGACGGGGUUCGAUUCACCGAGGAAGUA
rnacentral:tRNA from 1 species